UACGGGGGGGGUAAGCGUUGUUCGGAAUUACUGGGCGUAAAGGGCUCGUAGGCGGCCAACUAAGUCAGACGUGAAAUCCCUCAGCUUAACUGGGGAACUGCGUCUGAUACUGGAUGGCUUGGAUUCGGGAGAGGAAUGCGGAAUUCCAGGUGUAGCGGUGAAAUGCGUAGAUAUCUGGAGGAACACCGGUGGCGAAGGCGGCAUUCUGGACCGAGAUUGACACUGAUGAGCGAAAGCUAGGGGAGCAAACGGG
rnacentral:rRNA from 1 species